UGGGGAAUAUUGGACAAUGGGCGAAAGACUGAUCCAGACAGGCCGCGGGAGUGAUGAAGGCCCGAGGGUUGUAAAGCCCGUUAACCGGUGAAGAUAAUGACGGUAACCGGAGAAGAAGCCCCGGCGAAAUUCGUGGCAGCAGCAGCGGUAAUACGAAGGGGGCUAGCGUUGUUCGGAUUUACUGGGCGUAAAGCGCACGUAGGCGGACUUUUAAGUCAGGGGUGAAAUCCCGGGGCUCAACCCCGGAACUGCCUUUGAUAAUGGAACUCUUGAGUAUGGUAGAGGUGAGUGGAAUUCCGAGUGUAGAGGUGAAUUUCGUAGCUAUUCGGAGGUACACCAGUGGCGAAGUCUGCUCACUUGACCAUUUCUGACGCUGAGGUGCGCAAGCGUGGGGCGCCCACCGG
rnacentral:rRNA from 1 species